rnacentral:rRNA from 1 species
GAUGAACGCUAGCGGCAGGCUUAACACAUGCAAGUCGAGGGGUAUGCCGAUUUAUCGGCAGAGACCGGCGCACGGGUGCGUAACGCGUAUGCAAUCUACCUUUCACAGAGGGAUAGCCCAGAGAAAUUUGGAUUAAUACCUCAUAGUAUAGCAGUUUCGCAUGAAACCACUAUUAAAGUCACAACGGUGAAAGAUGAGCAUGCGUCCCAUUAGCUAGUUGGUAAGGUAACGGCUUACCAAGGCAACGAUGGGUAGGGGUCCUGAGAGGGAGAUCCCCCCACACUGGUACUGAGACACGGACCAGACUCCUACGGGAGGCAGCGGUGAGGAAUAUUGGACAAUGGGCGCAAGCCUGAUCCAGCCAUGCCGCGUGCAGGAUGACGGUCCUAUGGAUUGUAAACUGCUUUUAUACAGGAAGAACACUACUUCGUGAAGUAGCUUGACGGUACUGUAAGAAUAAGGAUCGGCUAACUCCGUGCCAG